UCGUUUACAGGCCAAAUGUAGUUUCAUAAAUUUGUUUAAACUAUAUUUUUUGAAAUCACACUCUACCAUCUGACCUGAAAUGUUCCAUAUUCUAUCUGCAGUCAACAUUGACAAACACCAAUAAAACAAAUGACCACAAUGUUAAACAUGAUUUGAUCUUGUUUCUUUAUUUUUUAGAUAAUACCUAAUUCAGAUGAUGCCAUUCCAAGUACUUCAGGACAUUUAGCAACCAAGAGCACGUCAUACAGCAUAUACACAGAUCUCUAUGCACCGAUUGUCAUUAAUGAUAGUGACGAGGAUGAGGAUCUCAGUGAUACUGGAAGAAGUCUGGAUGUCCUAGAGAACCCGACCGAGCAUACAAGUGUAUCAGUGCCCGACAUAAUUGAAAAUUUGGCGCUUGCCAUCGACCACAAAAAAAUCAGCAGGUUCAACAUAGCCAGGUCAAAUGUAUGGGAUGGAGCUGUCCGAGGGUU